rnacentral:lncRNA from 1 species
GCAAAUUGGAUGGAGAGGUUGAAAGCUAUUUCAACGGUGUUUCUCCUGGAGUUCUCAAAAAGAAAAAUACUCGACAAAACUGUGUACAGGUAUCAAAAGGUGCCAAAAGCAUAAAUUCCUCAAGUACAAGAUUGUUUGUAAGAAAAUAACUCCCUCCAAAACAGUUUACCAUCUGAGGAAGGAAGGCUCAGUUAUCACAACUCCAAAUCACUGAAACCCGGUAUUGCACAACACAGAUUGAUGCAGGAAAUCAGAAAACGAACACAGCUGUCUCACAGAGCAAACCAGCACCUUUAGCCAGAGAACUCCCUAGUCAAACAGCAGAAAACAAGGACAGAGAACUUCUGGAAUCUUGUAAAACUUCUGGAAUCUUGUAAACCAGUAUAGCAGGAUAAAAAAUGCGACCAGACCCUCUUGCAUUCAAGCUCCCCUAAAUCAAUACAACAGAGAGGGCCAGUUACUAAUUGACUCCCCGCCUAAUUUUUUCAGGAAAUAAGAAAGGAAACCAAAAAGGGAGGAGGGAAAAACUCCCAAUUUCGUAUAAUAUUCGGAUGCAAUAUCUUUUUUAGCUCCACCUAAGGCUAGGAUUCUGCCAAGCCACGAGGACAUCAAAAGAACAAGAAAAAGAAAAGACGACGAUCUUGAUAACAAAGAACAAUCGGGAAAUUACUAAUCAACAAACCCGACAAUAGUAAAAACACAAAUCUUCAUCAAUCUUCGAACGACACCACACCAAAACUAUUCAAAGUCCAGAUCACCGCCUACAGCAAUAAGAACAACAAUAACCACACCACAGAUAUGAAAAAAAAACUCCAGGAUUCAGAUUACGCUCACAUCCAUCCAAGAGAGAGUUCCUUCCCACUGUACAUGCCCGAAAUCCAUCAUUCUGCAAUAAGCACAUCAAAAAAACCAGAAAAGCAUUAAUUUUGGAGGAGACUUGAUGUCAAAUUUGUCUGAUAAUUGGAAUUAUCCAGAAAUUACCACAUAAACAAACCAAAACUACUGCAAAAAAUGGUAUCCUUCCCGUUCAAUCCUUCGAAAUACCAGAGCCACCGCCCGGAAACAACCAUGAUUAAAUCUCAAAAAUCGCCAUAAAAAAAUUAGCGAUAAUAAGCUUCAAAUUAAUCAAAUCAUCAAACCAUAGAAGCAACGGUCGAACCCAGUGAAGAUCAUCAAUUGAAGAUCCUAACCUUCUGCUAAUCCUAGACUCGAGAAAGAGCAGCAAAGUAGGUGCAGGCAAAUUGAAUGGAGAGGUUGAAAGCUAUUUCAGCAGUGUGUGUCCUGAAGUUCUAAAAAAGAAAAAAAAAACUCGAGAAAACAGUGUGCAGAUAUCAAAAGGUGCCAAAAGCAUAAAUUCCUCAAGCACAAGAUUAUGGGUGAGAAGAUAACUCCCUCCAAAUCAGUUUACCAUCUGAGGAAGGCUGGCUCAGUUAUCACCACAACUCCGAAUCACUGAAACCCUAUAUUGUACAACACAAUCCUAGACUCAAGAGAAAGAGCAGCAAAAUAGGUGCAGGUAAAUUGAAUGGUGCCAAAAGCAUAAAUUCCUCAAGCACAAGAUUAUGGGUGAGAAGAUAACUCCCUCCGAAUCAGUUUACCAUCUGAGGAAGGAAGGCUCAGUUAUCACCACAACUCCGAAUCACUGAAACCCUAUAUUGCACAACACAAUCCUAGACUCAAGAGAAGAGCAGCGAAAUAGGUGCAGGCAAAUUGAAUGGAGAGGUUGAAAGCUAUUUCAACACAGCGUGUCCUGUAAGUUCCAAAAAAGAAAAAAAAAACUAGAUAGAACAGCGUGCAGAUAUCAAAAGGUGCCAAAAGCAUAAAUUCCUGAAGCACAAGAUUAUGGGUGAGAAGAUAACUCCCUCCAAAUCAGUUUACCAUCUGAGGAAGGAAGGCUCAGUUAUC